UAGUCAUUGCGAUAGUAAUCCUGCUCAGUACGAGAGAAACCGCAGGUUCGGACAUUUGGUUCACGCACUCGGUCGAGCGGCCGAUGGUGCGAAGCUACCAUCCGUGGGAUUAUACCUGAACGCCUCUAAGGCCGUAUCCUCUCUAGUCAAAGGUGGCAAUGAUAUCUCCAGGAGUCUCGUGAGUCGAAAGGCUUAAAACAAUGUGACACUACUAGGCGGCUGGUCCACGGACCCGGUUUGUCGUACGGCGCCAUGGCUCGUCGUCGGGAUCUCACCGCUACGACGGCACAGCGUCUAACGGUCGAAUAUGAGUUUCGCGAGUUCAAUAUCGAGACUCGGAAUCGUCUGUAGACGACUUAGGUGCCCUUUUUUAGAAUGAAUCUCACUCCAAAAGAGUGAAAAUCUGCCACUUUUAUUC
rfam:Trachymyrmex cornetzi contig45305, whole genome shotgun sequence.